UCUGCGCUGAGGUGCUGAAGAGGGAUC
rnacentral:sRNA from 1 species